AAUAUUUGACAAUGGGCGAAAGCCUGAUCCAGCCUUGCCGCGUGUGUGACGAAGGUCUUCGGUUUUUAAAUCACCCUAUGUUGGGAGGUAGGGCUGUACGUUAAUCCCUCGUCGUUUUGACGUUACCGACUGAAUAAGCACCGGUGAACUUCGUGCUACCAGCCGCUGUAAUACGAAGGGUGCAAGCGUUAAUCGUAAUUACUGGGCGUAAAGCGCGAGUAGGUGGUUUGUUGAGUAGGAAGUGAAAGCCCCGGGCUCAACCUGGGAACUGCUUUCAAAACUGGCAAACUAGAGUAUGGCAGAGGGUGGUGGAAUUUCCUGUGUAGCGGUGAGAUGCGUAGAUAUAGGAAGGAACACCAGUGGAGAAGGCGACCACCUGGGCUAAUACUGACACUGAGGUGCGAAAGCGUGGGGAGCAAAC
rnacentral:rRNA from 1 species